GAUGGACGCUGGCGGUGUGCCUAAUACAUGCAAGUCGAGCGAACAGACGAGGAGCUUACUCCUCUGACGUUAGCGGCGGACGGGUGAGUAACACGUGGAUAACCUACCUAUAAGACUGGGAUAACUUCGGGAAACCGGAGCUAAUACCGGAUAACAUGUUGAACCGCAUGGUUCAACAGUGAAAGACGGUCUUGCUGUCACUUAUAGAUGGAUCCGCGUCGCAUUAGCUAGUUGGUAAGGUAACGGCUUACCAAGGCAACGAUGCGUAGCCGACCUGAGAGAGUGAUCGGCCACACUGGAACUGAGACACGGUCCAGACUCCUACGGGAGGCAGCAGUAGGGAAUCUUCCGCAAUGGGCGAAAGCCUGACGGAGCAACGCCGCGUGAGUGAAGAAGGUCUUCGGAUCGUAAAACUCUGUUAUUAGGGAAGAACAAAUGUGUAAGUAACUAUGCACGUCUUGACGGUACCUAAUCAGAAAGCCACGGCUAACUACGUG
rnacentral:rRNA from 1 species